rnacentral:lncRNA from 1 species
UCAUGAGAGACUUUUAUCAAAUGCCUUGCUAAAAUUAGAUUCCUUGUGUCUGUAGCAUUCUUCUGAUUGCUCUGUUCAGUUUGGGGUGUCAUAUUUUAAGAGAGAUCUUAAAAAACUGGUGGAGUUCCAGAGGAGGGCAAAUAGGACAGCUGGAGGACUUGAAACAAGGUUGCAUGAAGAACAGUUGAAGGCCCCAGGGAAUAUUUAGUUUAGAUAAGAGAAGACUUCUGGGAGGCAAAGGGGAAAGUGAUAGGUAUUUCUGAAAGGGCUUGGCAGCCCUAUGAGGCUAGUUAGGAAUGACUUGUUUUUAGUAGCCAACAUUGUCUCCUAUUGAUCACCAGCUUCCUUUUCAAACUGUCCAUCAGUCAGUCAAGAAACAUUAAGUGCCUACUAUGUGCCAGGCACUGGAGCUACAAAGAAAAGCUAAAAAACGAAUCUUGUUCUCUAAGAGCUCAUUGACCAGGAGAAGAGACAAUACACAAACAAAUUAUCUACAGGAUAAAUUGGCAAUGAUCAACAGAAUUAAGCAGAAUGGGGAAAGGCUUCCUUUAAUAGCUGGAAUUUUUGCUGGGAGUAGAAGAAAGUUAGGAAAACCAGGAGACAGAGAUGAAAAAGGAAAGUAUUCUAGGAGGUCAGGUCCACUUCCUCCCCCUCCCAAUGAGAACCCACAUCCUCCGGUGAGAGAUCCACCAAGCAGAUCAGGACCUCUCCCACCACUUCCACCUAUAAACAGAAAUGGCAAUACUUCCCGAGCACUGCCUUCUACUCCUCAACUGCCUUCCAGAGGUGGCUUAGAAAACCAGAGAGGUGGCCCAAGGCCUCCUCUUCCUCCAGACAGGCCUGGCUCUGGAGCUCUACCUCCCCCACCACCCUCAUCUUCAAUGAGAAAUGGCUUCCAAGAUUUAUCAUGUGAAGAUGAAAAGGGAAAGCAGAUUCUACUUCCAUCCGCUGUCUGAUUUGCCACCUCCAGAGCCAUAUGUACCAAUGAGCAAGAAUUACCCCAGUAAAGUGGCAAGAAAUGAAAGCCGAAGUGGCUCCAACAGGAGGGAAAGAGGUGCUCCCCCACUUCCCCCCAUCCCCAAGUGAAUGGGGUGGUCGACCUGCCUCAGCCAAUCACUCUAUUUACCUGAACUGAAGAGCUGCUUCUGUUAUCACCAUUGGAAAAUCUGUCCCUUCACUCCCCUUCUUGCCCCCAUCAUUGCCUCUUUUUUUAUGCUCCCUUCAUGUGGCUGAAGGGUAAAAAAUGGGGAUAUAUUGGCUAUAUGUAUAGAUUUUGUGGAUUUACCAAAAACCAAAUAAUAAAAUGCACAUAGCAUUUAAAAAAAAAUAAGAA